AACGAACGCUGGCGGCAGGCCUAACACACGCAAGUCGAACGGACCCUUCGGGGUUAGUGGCGGACGGGUGAGUAACACGUGGGAACGUGCCUUUAGGUUCGGAAUAGCUCCUGGAAACGGGUGGUAAUGCCGAAUGUGCCCUUCGGGGGAAAGAUUUAUCGCCUUUAGAGCGGCCCGCGUCUGAUUAGCUAGUUGGUGGUGUAACGGACCACCAAGGCGACGAUCAGUAGCUGGUCUGAGAGGAUGAUCAGCCACAUUGGGACUGAGACACGGCCCAAACUCCUACGGGAGGCAGCAGUGGGGAAUCUUGCGCAAUGGGCGAAAGCCUGACGCAGCCAUGCCGCGUGAAUGAUGAAGGUCUUAGGAUUGUAAAAUUCUUUCACCGGGGACGAUAAUGACGGUACCCGGAGAAUAAGCUCCGGCUAACUCCGUGCCAGCCGCCGCAGUAAGAC
rnacentral:rRNA from 1 species